GAGACAGGGAGAUUAGUUAGGAAGUUAGAACAUUAACACAAGCAAGAAAUGAUAGUGUUUGAUCUUGGGUUGCUGAGAAAUGUUCAGAUUCUGGAAAUAUUUUGAUGGUAAAGCCAAUGAGAUUGAACGUGGACUGUGAGAGCAAAAUCAAAUCAAGAAUAACUCAAGUUUGUUGGACUCUACGAUUGGAAUCAUAGCAUUUGCUAUUAACUGAGAUGGAGAAGAGUGGAAGGUAUUUACUGAGCCCCUUCUGAAUCUGGGUACUGUGGCUUAGAGGAAGAAAUAAACAUGGCAAUUGCUGUUUCUGCCUUCUUGACACUUAUCCAGGAGUUCAGAAAACAAACAUGUAAUUGUAUGUCCGGUUCUAAGUGUCUGAUUUCGAUGCUUAUGACCUAUUGGGGAUGACAACACAUGAAUAAGAGCACAAAAGUAUUACAGAUUAAGAAAAUACGUAGAAAGUAGACUGUGGAUGAAGGUCUAGGUGUCGUCAAUUCUAUUUAGGUGCGGAAGGAUUAGGCAAGUCUUCAUAGAGGUAAAGCGAUGAGUCCUCAUAUUUUGUUUCCCUCCUGAGAAGUGAAAAUUCUCAUCUUUCUGUGGCACCAAGAGGAACAAGAAUCUUGUAGUGUCCUCGCCUCCCACUUCAAUACUUCUAUGACCUGUCUCCUCCUCUCAGUCUGGAGGGUACAGGACCCUGGAGAAAGAUUUAGAUGAAGAGGAUCCUGAGGCCCAAAGGACUUGGAGUCUCCUAAGAUCACAAAACAACCAAUUAAGACAGUAAUGAAAAGAUCAUAUCUUGCUUUAAUAGUUUCUUAUAUUCAUACCUGAAAGGACUCCCUCACCAAUGGGUCUGACUAUGGUGCAUUCAAGCUGCCCCAAAUUUAAAAAAAUGUGUAAUUUGCUGCAAACAUCUUUCGGAUAAGAGGCACUAGGAGCUAACUUUGGUUCAGCCUCAGAACAUUUAUUUCCUUUCUACCUCUGUUGCUACUGUACCUCUUCCAUUAAGCCUGAAUGCAUCUUAUCCCAAAUUCUAUCUCAUUUUCAUAAUUGUAACUUAGCUUCAGGUAGGAGAAUUUGAUGAUCCAUCCAUAUGAGCAAUGUUCUGAGCCAGUGAUCUUGCUUGGUUCCCUGUCUCUGGACAUGUAACCAUAUUCCUUGAUAAGCCUCCUCCUCAAUAAGUUCCAGGCACCAGACUUAAAUCCUAGCUCCUGGUACAGCUGUGGUUACAACUGGGUAAUAAAAGCAGAUACUUUCAUACAAUAGUAACAGUUUUAUAUAUAUUUUUAAAGCAAACAAAAAAAAAUCCAAUUUUGAAAAAAAGGUUUAUUGGAAUGAUUUCUAAUUAUGUGUGGUUAUUGCAUUCUCCCAUCCUAUCAAAUUGAUGAAAUAAAAUUCAUAUUUUAUGGCAAGACAAGAAAAAUUUAAACAUAAAACUUUUCUUUGCCCAUCUGGGCCUCCUCCCUCCCCUUUAGUGUGUUUUAUGCAUCUGCAUUAACCAGACCUCCUUAGUAGAUAACAUUCCUUCUUACUCUUGUAAGAGGUCGCAAUGACCCAUGACCCCUACUUGCUUUGUAAGUGCAGAUCUGGAUUGUGUAAACUAUCAAUACAUCAUUUGAUAUAUAACCUUUUGUCUCAAAAACUUAUACAACUGUGCUUUGAUCUCUAAUGGGCAGAACAGUCCUCGGAGUGUUCCUGGGUUUUAACCCUCAGGUUGGCUCAAAUGAAAUUUUCCAUUUCUUUUUUUGAUCAAUCGAUUAUUGAUUAAUUUUUUUCAUCAAUAUUAAACUGUAAUAUUAUUUUCUCAAAUGUUUGUGCACUACCUCGUAAACAUGGUUUAAUAAACCUUCAUAAAGUAAACAAAAUACUUCCUUCAGGACCAUAGAACCCUGUCUAGUGUGCAUGUAAUUAGCCAGUGUAUUUCCUAAAUCCUAUUACUUUCUAAGUGAGAAUUCAUUCUCAUUUAGAAUCUCUCUCUCUCUCAAAAGAAGAAACAGUGGUAUUUCAGGAAAAUAUACUUAUCUUAAAGAUU